AUUGAACGCUGGCGGCAGGCCUAACACAUGCAAGUCGAGCGAGCGGCGGACGGGUGAGUAAUGUCUGGGAAACUGCCUGAUGGAGGGGGAUAACUACUGGACACGGUAGCUAAUACCGCAUACCAUCAGAUGUGCCCAGGUGGGAUUAGCUAGUAGGUGGGGUAACGGCUCACCCAGGCGACGAUCCCUAGCUGGUCUGAGAGGAUGACCAGCCACACUGGAACUGAGACACGGUCCAGACUCCUACGGGAGGCAGCAGUGGGGAAUAUUGGACAAUGGGCGAAAGCCUGAUCCAGCCAUGCCGCGUGUGUGAAGAAGGCCUUCGGAUUGUAAAGCACUUUCAGUGGGGAGGCGUUACCCGCAGAAUAAGCACCGGCUAACUCCGUGCCAGCAGCCGCGGUAAUUC
rnacentral:rRNA from 1 species